UGUUGCCCGGGCGGGCCGAGGAUGAUCGGUUAUCGUCUGUUAAACGGACCAGCAGGUUCGGGGUUCGAGUCCCCGCCGACAU
rnacentral:tRNA from 1 species